AAAAUGUCAUCCCAUUUAGUAGGUUGGUCUUCACAGGGUAAUUGUCUCAAUUUCACAUGGAUGCAAUGGUUGACCAGUCCGUCUCCUUAGUAACCUCUGGAAACUCUUGCUGGAAUGCCAAAGCUUUUGGGAAGCUGUCAGAGCUGUUAGUGCUUCAUCUGGAAACCUUCAGAGGAUCACUUUUGGGAUGAAUGGGAGAAGAUGUCAGGCCAUGAUCACCAGGAAGACAAAAAUGUGACCAAUACAGUGCAGACAUUCUGAUGUCAUCAGGUAUUUUUAAAUAUUGAUGAAGAUUUCCUAAAAAUGGAGCAUGGCACGAAACAGCUGGGUUAUUUCUGCUGUUGAGGAGCUUUCAUGGUUAAAACCCCCUCUGAAUCUUUCCAAGAGACAUCUCAGCAUCAUGACUCUGAUACAGCACUUUGGAUUUGCUACACCAAUUGACUGCAAAGAAAGAAAUGUCAAACUCUCACAUAAGUGUCCUUUUUCUGACAAGCUCUCCCUCUUUUGAACUACAAUGACGAGGACAACAUUGUUUUACUUUGCCACAGACGUUCCCCUAAAGUUUUUUGAAGGCCUCAGAGGUUCGGUGGAAUUUGACAAGAGGUAUUUGGGCUUUUGUGUUUGCCUUUAAUUGCUGUGCCCCGGGGUGGAUGCCACUGCUGCUGCUGCUGCUGGAGCAGAGGGCGCAGGACUGCUUAUCUCAACUCGCAGGACUGGGACAGCACACAGCCUGCAGAAGAUUGCAUGCUCAGAGCAAAGAUUUUGUUUCAAAAUGUUUGUCUAACUCCUAUGCCUGGCAGCUUAAAGAGCUGCUGCUCUUCUACACGGCAAAUAAGUGCUUUUAUUUCUAUAUUACAGGCUAGCUCUGGAAAUACAUAGAAAUAAAACUUUAUUGGUCUGUUGGCAACGGUUACACUGUGUCACAGUUUGGGUUAAAACCUUAGGUAUUUCUGUCAGCUCUCCAAUAACAAACAAACUUCAUCGGCCUGCUCAGACACUGCAGAUUUGGCUCUGCCAGGCUUAAUUUCAGGAUGAGCAUUUGGUUGUAAGUUUCUUUAGGUGUGCAGACCUUCAAAGACUAUGGACAAGCUCAAAUAUUCACAAGGCCCACUAACUUCAACUGCAACAGUGGUGAACCCAUUAAUCAGACUUUUAUAGCAGUGAUAUAACCUUCUAUGUGUACAGCUCUGUUAAA